UACGGAGGGGGCUAGCGUUAUUCGGAAUUACUGGGCGUAAAGCGUGCGUAGUCGGCUUUUUAAGUCGGGUGUGAAAUCCCCGGGCUCAACCUGGGAAUUGCAUUCGAUACUGGAUCGCUAGAGUUCGGCAGAGGGAAGUGGAAUUUCUGGUGUAGCGGUGAAAUGCGUAGAUAUCAGAAGGAACAUCAGUGGCGAAAGCGACUUCCUGGACCAGAACUGACGAUCAGGCACGAAAGCGUGGGGAGCAAACAGG
rnacentral:rRNA from 1 species